UGGGGAAUUUUGGGCAAUGGGCGAAAGCCUGAUCCAGCAAUGCCGCGUGAGUGAAGAAGGCCUUCGGGUUGUAAAGCUCUUUUGUCAGGGAAGAAACGGUGAGAGCUAAUAUCUCUUGCUAAUGACGGUACCUGAAGAAUAAGCACCGGCUAACUACGUGCCAGCAGCCGCGGUAAUACGUAGGGUGCAAGCGUUAAUCGGAAUUACUGGGCGUAAAGCGUGCGCAGGCGGUUUUGUAAGUCUGAUGUGAAAUCCCCGGGCUCAACCUGGGAAUUGCAUUGGAGACUGCAAGGCUAGAAUCUGGCAGAGGGGGGUAGAAUUCCACGUGUAGCAGUGAAAUGCGUAGAUAUGUGGAGGAACACCGAUGGCGAAGGCAGCCCCCUGGGUCAAGAUUGACGCUCAUGCACGAAAGCGUGGGGAGCAAACAGGAUUAGAUACCCAGGUAGUCCCUGAGCGGGCUGGCAAGGCGCAU
rnacentral:rRNA from 1 species